CCUGGCUCAGAAUGAACGCUAACGGUAUGCAUUACACAUGCAAGUUAUUCAGCUUUUUAAUAUUUGAUAGAUAUUUAUUUUGUCUGGGUAGCGAACGGGUGAGUAAUAUAUAAGAAUCUACUAUUAAUCUUUUUAAUAAUGAGCUUAUAUCUAAUUAGUUUGUUGGUGGGGUAAAGGCUUACCAAGACUUUGAUUAGUAGCUGGUCUGUGAGGAUGGUCAGCCACACUAGGACUGAGACAAGGCCUAGGCUUUUAUUGUAAAGCCUGCAGUGGGGAAUAUUCCGCAAUGAGCGCAAGCUUGACGGAGCAAUAUCGUGUGAACUAAAAAUUCUGAAUUAAGCAAAUAUCAUGAAUAGCUUAAGAAAAGUAUCGGCUAAUAUCUGUGCCAGCAGCCGCGGUAACACAGAAGAUGCGAGCGUUAUUCGGUUUUAUUGGGUGUAAAGGGUUCGUAGGUUUUUUAUUAAGACUUUUACUAAAUAAUAAGAAAAUUUAUUACUAAAAAGUGACUAAUAAAAUUGAGUAUAAAAAUUUAGGGUAGAAGUAAUUUUUUGUGUAAUAGUAAAAUGUUUCUAUACAAAAGAGAGCAUCAAAGGUGAAGACAUUCUACUUAAUUUAUACUGACGUUGAGGGACGAAAUUUAUGGUAGCGAAUGGGAUUAGAUACCCCAGUAGUCAUAAACGUAAACGAUGAAUACUAAAUUUUAACUUUUAAAUAAUGUUAAAGUUAAAGUUAACACGUUAAGUAUUCCACCUGGGGAGUAUAUCUUAGCGAUGAAACUCAAAGGAAUUGGCGAGGGUCCUUAUUAACGAUGGAGUGUGUGGUUUAAUUCGAUAUUGAGCGAUUACCAAGUUUUUUAAUGAAUGAAUUUUUUUUAUUUAUUGAAAAGGUGGUGCAUGGCUGUUGUCAGUUCGUGCUGUGAAGUGUUAGGUUCAGUCCUAUAACGAACGUAACCCCUUUAAUUUGUUAUAAGUAAACGCAUUUAUUAUAUUUAAUAACAAUAAACUCUUUUUGUAGAUUCUUUUUUGGAUUAUAAAAGGAUGUUUUAUUUUAUUUGUAUAUUUAUGUAAGUUAUUUAUCAAAAUUAAACAGCUAUAAAUAAAUUUAUUUGAUAAAAUAGAGGAAGAGGGACUAUAGCAAGUCAACAUGCCCCGUAUAAUUUGGGCUACGCGCGCACUACAAUGGAAUAUACAAUCUAUAUCUUAAAAAAAUAUUCCUCAGUUCGGAUUGUGGGAUUAAGCUCGCCCACAUGAAGUAGGAAUCGUAAGUAAUCGUAUGCAGAAUCAUACGGUGAAAUAGUACCCUAUUUCUUGAUAGGAAAUAGGGCAAAUAAGGAUCUUGUACACACUGCCCGUCACGUUAUGGUGAUUCUAUUGUCUAAAGUCUUUUUUAUAAAGGGAUGUUUGCAAAAAAGUUUCUGUAAUGAAGUCGUAACAAGGUAGCCGUACUGGAAGGUGCGGCUGGAUCACC
rnacentral:rRNA from 1 species